rnacentral:rRNA from 1 species
AUUGAACGCUGGCGGCAUGCUUUACACAUGCAAGUCGAACGGCACCACGGACUUCGGUCUGGUGGCGAGUGGCGAACGGGUGAGUAAUAUAUCGGAACGUGCCCAGUCGUGGGGGAUAACGUAGUGAAAAUUACGCUAAUACCGCAUACGAUCUAUGGAUGAAAGCGGGGGAUCGCAAGACCUCGCGCGAUUGGAGCGGCCGAUAUCAGAUUAGGUAGUUGGUGAGGUAAAGGCUCACCAAGCCGACGAUCUGUAGCUGGUCUGAGAGGACGACCAGCCACACUGGAACUGAGACACGGUCCAGACUCCUACGGGAGGCAGCAGUGGGGAAUUUUGGACAAUGGACGCAAGUCUGAUCCAGCCAUUCCGCGUGCAGGACGAAGGCCUUCGGGUUGUAAACUGCUUUUGUACAGAACGAAAAGGUCUCUAUUAAUACUAGGGGCUCAUGACGGUACUGUAAGAAUAAGCACCGGCUAACUACGUGCCAGCCGCCGCGGUAA